GAAGACACAUUCCAGCCAAUCAGCAGCAGACCCUCCCUCCCAGACCCUUCCACCUCCUGGACAGCUCACUAAGAAUGCAGCUUCACAAUGAAUGUAAAAUGGAUGCUGUCCAGGAGGUGGGAGGGUCUGGGAGGGAGGGUCUGCUGCUGAUUGGCUGGAAUGUGUCUG